rnacentral:rRNA from 1 species
AAUGAACGUUGGCGGCGUGGAUUAGGCAUGCAAGUCGAGCGCGAACCGUAGCAAUACGGGGAGAGCGGCGAAAGGGAGAGGAAUACGUGGUUACCUACCCUCAGGUUCAGGAUAGCUAUGGGGAAACUAUAGGUAAUACUGAAUAAUAUCUCCGGAUCAAAAGGUGAGAUUCCACCUGGGGAGGGACCGCGUCCUAUUAGCUUGUUGGUGAGGUAACGGCUCACCAAGGCGAAGAUGGGGUAUGGGAUGUGAGAGCAUGAUCCCACUCACUGGGACUGAGACACUGCCCAGACACCUACGGGUGGCAG